rnacentral:misc_RNA from 1 species
GAUGAAGAACGCAGCGAAAUGCGAUACGUAAUGUGAAUUGCAGAAUUCAGUGAAUCAUCGAAUCUUUGAACGCAUAUUGCGCUCUCUGGUAUUACGGAGAGCAUGCUUGUUUGAGUAUCAGUAAACACCUCAACUUCCAUAUCUUUUUUGAAAUGGGAGUUGGACUUGAGUGAUCCCAACGCUUUUCCUCACCGAAAAGUGGAGGGUUACUUGAAAUGCAGGUGCAGCUGGACUUUUCUCUGAGCUAUAAGCAUAUCUAUUUAGUCUGCCUAAAAAACAGAUUAUUACCUUUGCUGCAGCUAACAUAAAGGAGAUUAGUUCUUGUGCUGACUGAUGCAGGAUUCACAAAGACGGCUUCGGCCGACUUUGUAAACUCGAUCUCAAAUCAAGUAAGACUACCCGCUGAACUUAAGCAUAUCAAUAAGCGGAGGA